rnacentral:rRNA from 1 species
UACGGAGGGUUCGAGCGUUAAUCGGAAUUACUGGGCGUAAAGCGUGCGUAGGUUUUUCGUUAAGUCAGAUGUGAAAGCCCUGGGCUCAACGUUGUCCCGGCAUUUGAAACUGGCGGACUAGAGUUUAGUAGAGGGGAGUGGAAUUUCAGGUGUAGCGGUGAAAUGCGUAGAUAUCUGAAGGAACACCAGUGGCGAAGGCGACUCCCUGGACUAGAACUGACGCUGAGGUACGAAAGCGUGGGUAGCAAACAGGAUUAGAUACCCUGGUAGUCCACGCCGUAAACGAUGUCAACUAGCCGUUGGUCCUAUUUACAGGAUUAGUGGCGCAGCUAACGCAUUAAGUUGACCGCCUGGGGAGUACGGCCGCAAGGUUA